rnacentral:lncRNA from 1 species
AAGAAAAAUAUUUAAAAAUACAAAAUUUUGAUGAAAAAUUCUUAAAGAAUACUCAUCUAUCCACAAAUAUUCUUGUUAUCCUAAUUUAUAAAUCACAAUCCUAAAUAUACAAUAUUUCUCAAGAAAAUGAAAACUUUGUAAAAAUAUCAAUUUUUAAGAAAAUUAUUUAAAUAUACAACCUAUUGAUGAAAAAUUCUUAAAGAAUACUCAUCU